GAUGAAGAACGUAGCGAAAUGCGAUAAGUAAUGUGAAUUGCAGAAUUCAGUGAAUCAUCGAAUCUUUGAACGCACAUUGCGCCCGCCAGUAUUCUGGCGGGCAUGCCUGUUCGAGCGUCAUUACAACCCUCAGGCCCCCGGGCCUGGCGUUGGGGAUCGGCGGAAGCCCCCUGUGGGCACACGCCGUCCCUCAAAUACAGUGGCGGUCCCGCCGCAGCUUCCAUUGCGUAGUAGCUAACACCUCGCAACUGGAGAGCGGCGCGGCCAUGCCGUAAAACACCCAACUGCUGAAUGUUGACCUCGAAUCAGGUAGGAAUACCCGCUGAACUUAAGCAUAUCAAUAAGCGGAGGA
rnacentral:misc_RNA from 1 species